GCGUCCGUAGCUCUAUUGGAUAGAGCACUGUUUUCCGAAAAUAGAGGUUGUAGGUUCGAAUCCUACCGGACGCA
rnacentral:tRNA from 2 species